rnacentral:rRNA from 1 species
UACGUAGGGUGCAAGCGUUGUCCGGAAUUAUUGGGCGUAAAGAGCUCGUAGGCGGUUUGUCGCGUCGAAUGUGAAAACCCGGGGCUCAACCCCGGGCCUGCAUUCGAUACGGGCAGACUAGAGUUCGGUAGGGGAGUCUGGAGUUCCUGGUGUAGCGGUGAAAUGCGCAGAUAUCAGGAGGAACACCGGUGGCGAAGGCGGGACUCUGGGCCGAUACUGACGCUGAGGAGCGAAAGCGUGGGGAGCAAACAGG